UACGGGGGGGGUAAGCGUUGUUCGGAAUUACUGGGCGUAAAGGGCUCGUAGGCGGCCAACUAAGUCGGACGUGAAAUCCCUCAGCUUAACUGGGGAACUGCGUCCGAUACUGGAUGGCUUGGAUUUGGGAGAGGGAUGCGGAAUUCCAGGUGUAGCGGUGAAAUGCGUAGAUAUCGGGAGGAACACCUGUGGCGAAAGCGGCUCACUGGACCACAACUGACGCUGAUGCGCGAAAGCUAGGGGAGCAAACAGG
rnacentral:rRNA from 1 species